UAAUUUUUUUUGUUUACUUUAGUUUGUUAAUGUUAAAUUUCUUUUUAUUUAGUUAUUAGACUUUCAUGACACAUAUUUCAAGUUUCACGGGUUAACCCGGUUUGACGGGUUAACCCAGUUAAUUC